rnacentral:rRNA from 1 species
GAGCGAUGAAGUUCUUCGGAAAUGGAUUAGCGGCGAACGGGUGAGGAACACGUGAAGAAUCUGCCCUCCACUUUGGGAUAACACCGGGAAACCGGUGCUAAUACCGAAUAUUGAAACAUAAGUGGCAUCACUGAGUUUUGAAAGAAUUUCGGUGGAGGAUGACUUCGCGGCCUAUCAGCUAGUUGGUGAGGUAAUGGCUCACCAAGGCAACGACGGGUAGCCGGCCUGAGAGGGCGACCGGCCACACUGGGACUGAGACACGGCCCAGACUCCUACGGGAGGCAGCAGUGGGGAAUAUUGGGCAAUGGAGGAAACUCUGACCCAGCGACGCCGCGUGCGGGAUGAAGGCCUUCGGGUUGUAAACCGCUUUCAGUAGGGAAGAAGCGAAAGUGACGGUACCUACAAAAGAAGCACCGGCUAACUAUGUGCCAGCAGCCGCGGUAAUACAUAGGGUGCAAGCGUUGUCCGGAAUUAUUGGGCGUA